UACGGGGGGGGGUAAGCGUUGUUCGGAAUUACUGGGCGUAAAGCGCGUGUAGGCUGCUUCGCAAGUCGGGUGUGAAAGCCCUGGGCUCAACCUAGGAAGUGCACUCGAAACUGCGAAGCUGGAGUCCUGGAGAGGAAGGCGGAAUUCUCGGUGUAGAGGUGAAAUUCGUAGAUAUCGAGAGGAACACCGGUGGCGAAGGCGGCCUUCUGGACAGUGACUGACGCUGAGA
rnacentral:rRNA from 1 species